UCAGUUAUCCUUCAAACGAGAAGUUUUCUUUUUCCUCUCUAGAAAAUCGAAUCCAUUACCCCCAAAUUUAACCCUCGACAGCCAAAAUUUCUUUUUAGUUUUUUUUUUUCCUGAGAAUCUAGUAGAGAACGUUAGGCAUCAUAGAAGAAUUCUAGGGCAAGGAGUAAUUUUUACUGGUCUCGAUCUCCUUAUAUGUGUAAGCUUGACUUCGUUUUGUGUUUUUCUUUUCUUUCAGAUGUCGAUGAGUUCUACGCCCUUUGUGAUCCAGAAAAGGAGAAUCUAUGUUUAUAUGGACAUGCAAAUGAGAGUUGGGAAGUUACUCUACCAGCUGAAGAAGUACCACCGGAGCUACCUGAAUCAGCUUUGGGGAUUAAUUUUGCUAGAGAUGGAAUGAACCGUAGGGAUUGGCUUUCCCUAGUUGCUGUUCACAGUGAUUCUUGGCUGCUUUCUGUUGCUUUCUAUCUUGGAGCUCGUUUUAACCGUAAUGAAAGUUAGCAACUGUACGGGGACACCCUUAUAAAGGUGGUGGAGUGGAGGCCUUCUAUAUAGUUAGCAACUGUAUGGAGACACCCUUAUAAAGAUGGUGAGAGAAGGUCUGCCUGAAUCAAAUGGUUACAUUUAUGUUGAGGCAAAUGGUGGCUUAAAUCAGCAAACAACAUCGGAAUUUAAAUCCCAUGUAAGAGCCACAAGCUUACGACAAUUCUGGUUAUGAAGAGUCUUCAAAUCAGAAUGUGGAUUUGCUGGACAGGAAUGGAAAAAUGGUGCAGAAUGGCAUAAGAAGUGUUUGCAAUCUAUAAAUUAAACUUUGUUUACCUUGUGACAGAUUAGUACCAUUAGGUACGGUUUAGCGUUUUAAUUUAUAAUUAUUUAUUGUUCAGUGUGUUAAGAGUGUGCCGAGAAUAUUAAUUUAUGUUGAAACAGAUUUCUUUUAUUAAUUUAAUUUUUAUUAAA